rnacentral:rRNA from 1 species
AGAUGGUCACCUAGAGACAGUGAGGAAAAUAUGCACCUAGGCCUCCAACCAACAGUGAGGCAUUAGCAACUCUCCGAGAGAAAGUAAUGGCUGAAAUUGUUCUUCUUCUAGUCAUUGAAAAGAUGGUAAUCGCCGUAGCAAAUGGAGCAGCAAAUCAGGCGAGUGCUCAUUUUUCCAAGUAUGGGACCCAACUAAUAGAGCUACAGGGCAGCAUGGGCCGCGUUGUUAGGGAGCUUCGUAUAAUUCAUGAUGUUCUAUGUCAAAUGGACAUUCGAAACCGCCACAAUCAAGUGUAUGAGGGCUGGUUGGAUGAGGUGCGGAAGGUAGCACAUGCGAUGGAGGAUAUGGUGGAUGAGUACAUGUAUCAAGUUGGCCGGGAACAUGAUACUGGGUGUUGCUUCUACCUGAAGAAAGGGCUUAGAAAACCAAGAUCUCUGCUUUCCUUGAAUCAGAUAUCUUCCAAAGUGAAGGAAAUAGAGAAAGACCUUGCACACCUGUCAGAGAUGAAAUACCGAUGGGUUCCCAUGAUAAACAAUGAAGAUACUGGCAGCUUGAAUUACAUGGUCAAGAAGUCUCAAGAUCUAGCAAACAUCUCACGUUCCCUUGAUGACGAAGAUCUAGUUGGGGUGGAUGAAAAUAGAGGAAAACUUGAGCAAUGGUUGGGAAGUGACGAUGUGGAACGUUCCCUGAUAACACUGAUAGGAAUGGGUGGGCUGGGCAAAACAGCUUUAGCAUCAAAUGUCUAUAGGAAAGAGAGAGAGAAAUUUCAGUGCCAUGCAUGGGUCUCCAUCUCUCAAACUUAUUCUAGAGAAGAUGUCUUGAGGAAUAUAAUCAAGGAAUUAUUCAAAAAUGAAGUCAGUGGUCCAUCAAACAUUGCAGCGAUGGAUAUCACAAGCCUUGAAGAGACAUUGAAGAGGUAUCUAGGGCAAAUGAAGUAUUUGAUCAUAUUAGAUGAUGUUUGGACUCCAGAUGCAUUUGAAGACCUGUCUAGGUCACUUGUUUGUAAUGGUAAGUGAAGCAGAUUGAUAAUCACAACACGGCAGGGUGAUGUUGCCGCACUUGCUUCUCAAGGACACAUAUUAACACUUGAACCUUUACCAGAAGACAAGGCUUGGGAUCUUUUUUGUAAGAAAUCUUUUCCAAAAGAAACAAACCAUCACUGUCCUGAGGAGUUGAGGCUUUUGUCCGAGGAAAUACUUAGCAAGUGCAAAGGAUUGCCUCUUGCUAUUGUGUCAGUUGGCAGCCUCUUGCAUGUGCGUGAGAAAACCGUUGAAGAAUGGAAAAGAAUAAAUGACCAAUUGAGUUGGGAGAUACUUAAUAACUCAAGGCUCGACCACAUAAGGAAUGUGUUGCAUCUGAGCUAUAUCUACCUUCCAACAUACUUGAAGAGUUGUUUCCUGUACUGCAGCCUAUUUCCAGAAGACUAUCUUUUUCGCAGAAAAACUCUUGUACGGUUAUGGACGGCGGAGGGGUUCAUCGUGGAGAGGGGUGUAAGCACAUUAGAAGAAGUGGCAGAAGGUUAUCUGAAGGAGUUGGUUAACAGGAACAUGCUACAACUUGUUCGCAGGAAUGCAUUUGGUAGGAUGAAAAGAUUCAGAAUGCAUGAUAUCAUACGUGAAUUGGCAGUUGAUUUGUGCCAGAACUAUCGUUUUGGUGUUAAAUCUGAGGAUUAUAUAUGCGGGGGUACUCUUCAUAGGGAUGGACGGAGAUUGGUAGUGCACAAACUAAAGAAGGAUAUUCAUCAUUCAUUUUCUAGCAUACAUGGACUUCGAACUUUCAUUACACUGGACAAAAGCAUGCCGCCAUUAACCCUGCUACCUCUAAUAUCUGAGAAUUCAAGAUAUAUGACAGUGCUAGAAUUAACUGGCCUACCUAUCGAGAAGAUUCCCGAUGCUAUUGGUGAUCUUUUUAAUCUCCGCCAUUUGGGCUUGCGGGAUUCAAAAGUGAGGUAUCUCCCAAAAUCCAUCGAGAAGCUUUUGAAUCUGUUGACACUGGACCUCUGUAGAUCUGACAUACAUGAGUUGCCUAGAGGGAUUGUCAAGUUGAAGAAGCUUAGGCACUUGUUUGCUGAGAAAGAAACUGUGUCAGGACGAGACUUUGGACUUAGCAGUGGUGUAUGCAUCCCCAUUGGGCUUGGGAACCUAACAAACCUGCAGACUCUACAAGCGUUGGAAGUGCAAGAUGAAUCCAUUAAGCAACUAGUGGAGCUAAGGCAACUCAGAAGCUUGAAGAUAUGCAAUGUGAAGGGAAUCUACUGUGAACACCUCCACGAGUCUCUGGUGCAGAUGCCAUUUUUGUCCUACCUAUAUGUGGGUGCAAGUGACAAGAAUGAAGUUCUCAUGUUGAACACCCUCCCGACUAGCCUGCAAAAGUUAAGGUUGAACGGAAGAUUGCCGGAAGGGACACUUUCGAGGGGGUCUACUCUCUUUCAAGGUGUGGAGCAGAACAUGUAUUCACUACGCCUGUCUUGGUCGCAGUUGAGAGAAGACCCUUUGCCAUCCCUUUCCCAGUUGGUGAAUUUGACAGUUCUUCACUUCUUUAGAGCAUACAAUGGAGAGAAGCUGACGUUUCUCACGGGAUGGUUUCCCAACCUGAAGCAUCUCUCUCUAAGAGACAUGCCUAACCUGAAGCGACUAGAGAUAAAGCUAGGUGCCAUGGCGACCCUGGAAUCAUUUACGUUAGGCAGCCUAAACAGCAUGGCGGAGGUCCCACCUGGCCUUGAGUUUCUCAUGCCCCUCCAGUAUCUAGGCUUCUUCCAAAUUACCCGCGACUUCCUCAAGUUGUUGUACCAAUGUCCUCAACUUGUUUGUACGCAAUGGCAACACACUCUCCGCGACGACGACGACGAUGACGACCGGUGAUCCUCCCAUAACUUGCAUGCCGCCAUAGAAAAAGGAAGAUAUAUGCGCCUCGGUUCGAUAUCUGUUCUACUGCUGCUCUACAAGACUGGGCUGCUAUAUUGGUUGCUUGUGAAGUGUGAUAUUCAGAGUUCCUACUGAUUUCGUCUGUGGCGUUGAAAUAACAAGACACAUCCUGCUUGUGUCGCAAGACUGAAUUACUCGAUCACUUUUUACGCGUUAAUGCGUUCAACUAUUGUGUGUAUUCUAUUCAUGUGAGCUUGUAAACUAUGAUCGGUACUGUCUAUUCCGGCCGUGCGUGUUGAAUAACUAAACCAUUUGCGUGAAUUUGUGCGCCCAACUAUUGUGUGUAUUCUAUCCGUGUGGGCUUGUAAACUUUAAUCGAUACUGUAUGUUCCAGUCAUGCCUGUUAAAUAAAUAAACCAUUUGUGUAAGAAUUUUCCUUGUGUAUAGCAU